CUGCAUCCACUGAUAGACCUUGGACAGUUUGCUGGUUUUUUUUGUUUGUUUUUUUGUUUUUUUUUGUUUUUGGUUUGCUCUGGGGAUGCAAAAGAGGGAAAUCCCUGCACUUUCUCUCUGUCUUUGUGGCAGCUGGGAUUGAAUUGGGGAAUGCAUCU
rnacentral:snoRNA from 1 species